AGUGAACGCUGGCGGUAGGCCUAACACAUGCAAGUCGAACGGCAGCACAGUAAGAGCUUGCUCUUACGGGUGGCGAGUGGCGGGCGGGUGAGGAAUACAUCGGAAUCUACUUUUUCGUGGGGGAUAACGUAGGGAAACUUACGCUAAUACCGCAUACGACCUACGGGUGAAAGUAGGGGAUCUUCGGACCUUGCGCGAUUGAAUGAGCCGAUGUCGGAUUAGCUAGUUGGCGGGGUAAAGGCCCACCAAGGCGACGAUCCGUAGCUGGUCUGAGAGGAUGAUCAGCCACACUGGAACUGAGACACGGUCCAGACUCCUACGGGAGGCAGCAGUGGGGAAUAUUGGACAAUGGGCGCAAGCCUGAUCCAGCCAUACCGCGUGGGUGAAGAAGGCCUUCGGGUUGUAAAGCCCUUUUGUUGGGAAAGAAAAGCAGCAGGUUAAUACCCCGCUGUUCUGACGGUACCCAAAGAAUAAGCACCGGCUAACUUCGUG
rnacentral:rRNA from 1 species